UACGGAGGAUGCAAGCGUUAUCCGGAUUUAUUGGGUUUAAAGGGUGCGGAGGUUGUUUGAUAAGUCAGUGGUGAAAGUCUGUCGCUUAACGGUAGGAUUGCCAUUGAUACUGUUAGACUUGAAUAUGGAUGAGGUAGGCGGAAUGUGUAGUGUAGCGGUGAAAUGCAUAGAUAUUACACAGAACACCGAUUGCGAAGGCAGCUUACUAAUCCAUCAUUGACGCUGAGGCACGAAAGCGUGGGGAUCAAACAGGAUUA
rnacentral:rRNA from 1 species